UUGAAAGGGAAACGAUUGAAGUCAGUCAUGCUGGUGGGAAUCAACUUAGGGGAAACUCUGAGUGCACUUCUCCGUUUGGCAGGUUAGUGUCGAUUUUGGAUGUCAUAAAAUAAUUGGGGGAAGGUAGCUCUUUCGAGAGUGUUAUAGCCCUUGAUAGAUGUGAUGUUUGGGGUCGAGGAUUGCAACGGAUACCCUCUGGGGCUAGCCGCCUGAUCUCUAAUCGGUGUUGGGUUACGGAUAGCAUGCUGACCGUUUUCUAAUUACUGGUUAAAAGGUUAGAGCGUGCAUAAAUUCGUUAAGGAUGUUGACGUA
rnacentral:rRNA from 1 species